GUGUUUUCAUCCAGGGUGUUCUCUCUCUCUCUCUCUCUCUCUCUCUCUGUGUGUGUGUGUGUGUGUGAGAGAGAGAGAGAGAGAGAGAGAGAGCUCAGUGGAAUGG